GUGAGUGGCGCGGACUAUACAUGCAGUCGAACGCUUUUCCUUUCACCGGAGCUUGCUCCACCGAAAGAAAAAGAGUGGCGAACGGGUGAGUAACACGUGGGUAACCUGCCCAUCAGAAGGGGAUAACACUUGGAAACAGGUGCUAAUACCGUAUAACACAAUUUUCCGCAUGGAAGAAAGUUGAAAGGCGCUUUUGCGUCACUGAUGGAUGGACCCGCGGUGCAUUAGCUAGUUGGUGAGGUAACGGCUCACCAAGGCAACGAUGCAUAGCCGACCUGAGAGGGUGAUCGGCCACACUGGGACUGAGACACGGCCCAGACUCCUACGGGAGGCAGCAGUAGGGAAUCUUCGGCAAUGGACGAAAGUCUGACCGAGCAACGCCGCGUGAGUGAAGAAGGUUUUCGGAUCGAAAAACUCUGUUGUUAGAGAAGAACAAGGAUGAGAGUAAAAUGUUCAUUCCCUUGACGGUAUCUACAGAAAGCCACGGCUAACCUACGUGCAGCAGCGCGGUAUACGUAGGUGGCAAGCGUUGUCCCGGAUUUAUUGGGCGUAAAGCGAGCGCAGGCGGUUUCUUAAGUCUGAUGUGAAAGCCCCCGGCUCAACCGGGGAGGGUCAUUGGAAACUGGGAGACUUGAGUGCAGAAGAGGAGAGUGGAAUUUCCAUGU
rnacentral:rRNA from 1 species